rnacentral:rRNA from 1 species
UACAGAGGUGGCGAGCGUUGUUCGGAUUUACUGGGCGUAAAGGGUGCGUAGGCGGUUCCGCAUGUCGGAUGUGAAAUCCCACGGAUCAUCUGUGGAAUGGCAUUCGAAACUGCGGGGCUAGAGUGCAGGAGAGGAGGGCGGAAUUCUCGGUGUAGCGGUGAAAUGCGUUGAUAUCGAGAAGAACGCCGGUGACGAAGGUGGCCCUCUGGACUGCAACUGACGCUGAGGCACGAAAGCUAGGGGAGCAAACAGG